GGGUUGUGAGGUUAAGCGACUAAGCGUACACGGUGGAUGCCCUGGCAGUCAGAGGCGAUGAAGGGCGUGCUAAUCUGCGAUAAGCGCCGGUAAGGUGAUAUGAACCGUUAUAACCGGCGAUACCCGAAUGGGGAAACCCAGUGUGAUUCGUCACACUAUCAUUAACUGAAUCCAUAGGUUAAUGAGGCGAACCGGGGGAACUGAAACAUCUAAGUACCCCGAGGAAAAGAAAUCAACCGAGAUUCCCCCAGUAGCGGCGAGCGAACGGGGAGGAGCCCAGAGCCUGAAUCAGCAUGUGUGUUAGUGGAAGCGUCUGGAAAGGCGCGCGAUACAGGGUGACAGCCCCGUACACAAAAGCGCAUGUGCUGUGAGCUCGAUGAGUAGGGCGGGACACGUGGUAUCCUGUCUGAAUAUGGGGGGACCAUCCUCCAAGGCUAAAUACUCCUGACUGACCGAUAGUGAACCAGUACCGUGAGGGAAAGGCGAAAAGAACCCCGGCGAGGGGAGUGAAAAAGAACCUGAAACCGUGUACGUACAAGCAGUGGGAGCACCCGUUUGGCUGUGUGACUGCGUACCUUUUGUAUAAUGGGUCAGCGACUUAUAUUCUGUAGCAAGGUUAACCGAAUAGGGGAGCCGGAGGGAAACCGAGUCUUAACCGGGCGUUAAGUUGCAGGGUAUAGACCCGAAACCCGGUGAUCUAGCCAUGGGCAGGUUGAAGGUUGGGUAACACUAACUGGAGGACCGAACCGACUAAUGUUGAAAAAUUAGCGGAUGACCUGUGGCUGGGGGUGAAAGGCCAAUCAAACCGGGAGAUAGCUGGUUCUCCCCGAAAGCUAUUUAGGUAGCGCCUCGUGAAUUCAUCUCCGGGGGUAGAGCAAUGUUUCGGCUAGGGGGCCAUCCCGGCUUACCAACCCGAUGCAAACUGCGAAUACCGGAGAAUGUUAUCACGGGAGACACACGGCGGGUGCUAACGUCCGUCGUGAAGAGGGAAACAACCCAGACCGCCAGCUAAGGUCCCAAAGUCAUGGUUAAGUGGGAAACGAUGUGGGAAGGCCCAGACAGCCAGGAUGUUGGCUUAGAAGCAGCCAUCAUUUAAAGAAAGCGUAAUAGCUCACUGGUCGAGUCGGCCUGCGCGGAAGAUGUAACGGGGCUAAACCAUGCACCGAAGCUGCGGCAGCGACACUGUGUGUUGUUGGGUAGGGGAGCGUUCUGUAAGCCUGCGAAGGUGGCCUGUGAGGGUUGCUGGAGGUAUCAGAAGUGCGAAUGCUGACAUAAGUAACGAUAAAGCGGGUGAAAAGCCCGCUCGCCGGAAGACCAAGGGUUCCUGUCCAACGUUAAUCGGGGCAGGGUGAGUCGACCCCUAAGGCGAGGCCGAAAGGCGUAGUCGAUGGGAAACGGGUUAAUAUUCCCGUACUUGGUGUUACUGCGAAGGGGGGACGGAGAAGGCUAUGUUGGCCGGGCGACGGUUGUCCCGGUUUAAGCGUGUAGGUGUGUGUUCCAGGUAAAUCCGGUUCACUUUAACACUGAGGCGUGACGACGAGGCACUACGGUGCUGAAGCAACAAAUGCCCUGCUUCCAGGAAAAGCCUCUAAGCAUCAGGUAACAUCAAAUCGUACCCCAAACCGACACAGGUGGUCAGGUAGAGAAUACCAAGGCGCUUGAGAGAACUCGGGUGAAGGAACUAGGCAAAAUGGUGCCGUAACUUCGGGAGAAGGCACGCUGACACGUAGGUGAAGUGAUUUACUCAUGGAGCUGAAGUCAGUCGAAGAUACCAGCUGGCUGCAACUGUUUAUUUAAAAACACAGCACUGUGGCAAACACGAAAGUGGACGUAUACGGUGUGACGCCUGCCCGGUGCCGGAAGGUUAAUUGAUGGGGUCAGCGCAAGCGAAGCUCCUGAUCGAAGCCCCGGUAAACGGCGGCCGUAACUAUAACGGUCCUAAGGUAGCGAAAUUCCUUGUCGGGUAAGUUCCGACCUGCACGAAUGGCGUAAUGAUGGGCCAGGCUGUCUCCACCCGAGACUCAGUGAAAUUGAACUCGCUGUUGAAGAUGCAGUGUACCCGCGGCAAGACGGAAAGACCCCGUGAACCUUUACUAUAGCUUGACACCUGAACCAUUGAGCCUUGAUGUGUAGGAUAGGUGGGAGGCUUUGAAGUGUGGACGCCAGUCUGCAUGGAGCCGACCUUGAAAUACCACCCUUUAAUGUUUGAUGUUCUAACGUGGACCCGUUACCCGGGUUGCGGACAGUGUCUGGUGGGUAGUUUGACUGGGGCGGUCUCCUCCUAAAGAGUAACGGAGGAGCACGAAGGUUGGCUAAUCCUGGUCGGACAUCAGGAGGUUAGUGCAAUGGCAUAAGCCAGCUUGACUGCGAGCGUGACGGCGCGAGCAGGUGCGAAAGCAGGUCAUAGUGAUCCGGUGGUUCUGAAUGGAAGGGCCAUCGCUCAACGGAUAAAAGGUACUCCGGGGAUAACAGGCUGAUACCGCCCAAGAGUUCAUAUCGACGGCGGUGUUUGGCACCUCGAUGUCGGCUCAUCACAUCCUGGGGCUGAAGUAGGUCCCAAGGGUAUGGCUGUUCGCCAUUUAAAGUGGUACGCGAGCUGGGUUUAGAACGUCGUGAGACAGUUCGGUCCCUAUCUGCCGUGGGCGCUGGAGAACUGAGGGGGGCUGCUCCUAGUACGAGAGGACCGGAGUGGACGCAUCACUGGUGUUCGGGUUGUCAUGCCAAUGGCACUGCCCGGUAGCUAAAUGCGGAAGAGAUAAGUGCUGAAAGCAUCUAAGCACGAAACUUGCCCCGAGAUGAGUUCUCCCUGAGACUUAAAGUCUCCUGAAGGAACGUUGAAGACGACGACGUUGAUAGGCCGGGUGUGUAAGCGCAGCGAUGCGUUGAGCUAACCGGUACUAAUGAACCGUGAGGCUUAACCUUACAACGCCGAAG
rnacentral:rRNA from 1 species